rnacentral:rRNA from 1 species
AUUGAACGCUGGCGGCAUGCCUUACACAUGCAAGUCGAACGGCAGCACGGGUGCUUGCUCCUGGUGGCGAGUGGCGAACGGGUGAGUAAUACAUCGGAACAUGUCCUGUAGUGGGGGAUAGCCCGGCGAAAGCCGGAUUAAUACCGCAUACGAACUACGGAUGAAAGCGGGGGCCCUUCGGGCUUCGCGCUUUCGGGUUGGCCGAUGGCGGAUUAGCUAGUUGGUGGGGUAAAGGCCUACCAAGGCGACGAUCAGUAGCUGGUCUGAGAGGACGACCAGCCACACUGGAACUGAGACACGGCCCAGACUCCUACGGGAGGCAGCAGUGGGGAAUUUUGGACAAUGGGCGAAAGCCUGAUCCAGCAAUGCCGCGUGUGUGAAGAAGGCCUUCGGGUUGUAAAGCACUUUUGUCCGGAAAGAAAUCCUUGGCCCUAAUACGGUCGGGGGAUGACGGUACCGGAAGAAUAAGCACCGGCUAACUACGUG